UACGUAGGGUGCGAGCGUUAAUCGGAAUUACUGGGCGUAAAGCGUGCGCAGGCGGCGCGUUAAGACAGGUGUGAAAGCCCCGAGCUUAACUUGGGAAUUGCGCUUGUGACUGGCGUGCUGGAGUGUGGCAGAGGGAGGUGGAAUUCCGACGUGUAGCAGUGAAAUGCGUAGAGAUGUGGAGGAACACCGAUGGCGAAGGCAGCCUCCUGGGCCAGCACUGACGCUCAUGCACGAAAGCGUGGGGAGCAAACAGGA
rnacentral:rRNA from 1 species